CAGUCGCCACGGGAAUACGAAGGGGGCUAGCGUUGUUCGGAUUUACUGGGCGUAAAGCGCACGUAGGCGGAUCGAUCAGUCAGGGGUGAAAUCCUGGAGCUCAACUCCAGAACUGCCUUUGAUACUGUCGAUCUCGAGUCCGGAAGAGGUGAGUGGAACUCCUAGUGUAGAGGUGGAAUUCGUAGAUAUUAGGAAGAACACCAGUGGCGAAGGCGGCUCACUGGUCCGGUACUGACGCUGAGGUGCGAAAGCGUGGGGAGCAAACAGGAUUAGAUACCCCAGUAGUCCCUGUCUCUUAUAC
rnacentral:rRNA from 1 species